ensembl:lncRNA
GGCGGGCUGUGGCCCGGCUCGGGGAGCGGAGCCUGCCGGUACUCGUGCGGCCCUGCGGGGCUGUCCGUCUCCGGGUCGCUCCUUUGCAGCUCUUCCCGCUUCGGCUUUUCCUUCGUGUUCGCGCAGCGCUCUGUUGGCGGGGCUGACGGACAAAGGGCGGUGUGGGAGCGGGGUUGUCGGGCUGAGCCUGGCGGGGCAGCUGCCUGAUGUGCGCCCGUCUGACUCCUGUGCCGGGGAGAGCUGUGGAGAAAGGCGAGGCUUUGUGCUUUGGAGCCCCGUCCUGCGGCCUCGCUGGGCUGUGAGGGGCCCGUCCUGUGCUGGGGAGGGCGUGGGAGAGCACAGGGAGACCAGCGGCAGGGAGAGCUGCAGGUUGGCAUAACGGCCCUGCGGGUUUAACUGAAACGAGGGGUGAAACGCCACUCUUAGUUCUUCAGUGAAGUGCUACAGCACAUAACGUUGGAUUUCUUUCAUAUAGCUUGUUAUAAGAACAUACGUUGUAUAAUCAAUGAGUAUAUAGACGUAAAAUCAGUGACAAUACAGAGAAGAAUACUGGGCUUACCAAAAAAAAGACUCCACGAGGAGCCAUCUCCAGGGAGAGACCCCUCCCCAGCGGCAGUCAGCCCUGGAAUGGGCUCUAGCAGAGGUGCAGCCUGGCUGCAGCCCUUCCACUCACACAGCUCAACUGCCUUCACCUGUGCUCCCACGGCUGACUCAGCGCUCGCCUCAGGGAGCAGCACGCCAGCACUGUUUCCUAGAACCUGUCGCUUACUGUGCAGGCUGAACAAAUGCCUAGUUUCACUGGGCCCAGGUGAGAACAUCUGAUUAGGAGUUCUCAUCUAAAUAAGGUAUGAAAUUCCCAGCCAGCUCUCCAGUGAGGGCUGAAUACAUGUGAAGAGAGCAGCAAAAUGUGUGUACCUCCAUCGAAUCUCUGUAGGCAGCACAGUGCUUGGGAAAAGCUUUACCUGGUGUUCAUCAUGAGUAGGAGUCGUCCCCACCUGUGAAGCCUGGGUUCCUGAUGGAGAAGUUGCUGAUCCUCCUCACCUGUGUCAUCUGAGUGGUUUAGAGGAAUCAUGCCAUCGGACACAGAUCAGUAAUGCUUGUUGCUUGAUCCAACUGCUGUAUAGCUGAUGAAUUCAUGGAUUUAAGACAAAUAAUCCGUAUUUCAUUACUAGCAAGUGCUAGAAAUAAAAAUGUACUCUGCACUAUUGCUUGGAAAAACAAAUCCUGAAGUCGUAAGAGAGGAUUAAAGUUGGAAAAAAAUCUCUCAAGAGAAAAACGAAGGGAGUAAUGACAUCUGCUUAGCAGCAUCCAGCCCCUCAGCCUGCAGCACGGACCUCUGGAGCCCUUACACACGGAAUAAAAGGGGAUGCAGUGAGUGAGGAGCAGCAGAACUGCAAGCAGAGCAGCGCUACUGGUGUAAGAUGGCAUUAGGAAGAGUGGAGUUUUGUUAAUGGGUCAUGGAAAGUAGGUUCUACCUCUCAUAAUGCAAACUGUCUUAUUUUUGUUUCAUUUCCUUCCCAGGGUGGUGUUCUACCAUGGCAGUAAACAAAGCCAUCGGUUGCAGACUUCUGCACCAAUUCAGGUGGCUCCAUUGAAGGUGUAAGAUUGGAGGUGUGAGGUUUCUCAGCAGUGGGACGUUACCACCUAGCUGUGAGCUGGCUUUGCUCUGGUGGGCGUCCUGCUGUUCCCCCACAGUGAGCUGUGUUCUGGUUCUGUUGGAAGGCUGCCCGGUCCUUCUGCCGGGUUUAUAUUCCACUUAAACGCGUGGCUAUUCAAGUGACCAACCUUUUGGAGUGUCUCGUUUGGCUUUGCCUUAAACGUUUGCUGCUCCUACCCCUUCCCCCCUUCCUACAGAGGCCUUUUUAUAGGUGGCCUGUAGUGCCAUAUAGUUUUUGCUUAGAGUUGAGCAUUUUCCUAAGCUUAUGGGGUUAACCACGAUUAUGGGAGAGUUCUUGAAGCAUUUUUGAAUGUAAUGCUUUUAUUUAAUGUUUGUAAGCAAGUUCAAAGGUGUCAGAUACAAAUGUCCCAGUAUGGCACAAGGACGAGACGUGGCAUUGGGGAUUGGGCUGUUCUGUUGCUAGUGCACACAAAUGUGGCAAUGAACUUUUUCCCUCGUGCUUUAGAGCAUUAAAACAGCUGUUUUGGAUCAGAGCAAAGUGGGCAGCAGCUGUGGCAGUGAUCUGCCUGUGAUUAGUGGGCUCAGGCACUCGUGGAGUCACAGAUGGGCUUUGUGCUCUUAAGGGCACUGUGCUUUUAGGGCUCCCGCUUUUGCACCAGUGUGCUUCUUAAAGUGCUAAAAGUUUUCCCAGCUGGAAGUCCUCACAGCAUCACACAGCAAAGAGCUCUGGGUAUCAGCAUCCACACAAAGGCACCGCGCAGUCCGCCUGUGUUCCAAUGGGCACAAACAGCACUGAUUGCGUAUUAAAGCCAUUGUCACCAUCACAACCUGGGAGGAGAGCAGAGUGCCAGGACGCUGCAGGACCCCGAAGAUUAUGUCUUAUAAAUAAACAGCUCAAAUUUGUCUGAAGCCUCAGCGUGCGAUGUAUGGAGCGUUGCAUUCUGACCGUGUUACGCCAAGAUUGCUGCUAAUGGCUUUUGGCAGCACAGCCACCAAGUCAGAAAGCUGAGAUGAUUGCAGAUUGUCUGCUUCCAUACACAUCAUACAGCUGCCUGGAAGACGGUGGAGGCAGCGCCUAAUUGAUGUUUGUUCUUGUCAAUGCGUGAUCGGGUUUUGAUGCAAGGUUCUCCUCUUUUGUGCUCUUCUGGUCAAAUUUUCGUUUAAAUUUGUAUUCUGUGCUGAACAGUAGUGCCAGCAGAACCAUAAGCGAGGAGUUUAAAUUUAGGAUGUGUUGCAGAAAUCCAAAAAUGCUUUACUGUUUGGGUAAAAACGUUUUUGUGUUUUUUUUUCCCCUUCAGCUGCUGCUCUGCAUGCCGUAAAACAGCAAUCCGAAGGGUUUGCUCUGAAAGCAUCUCUUUGUGCCCUGGGCCAGUGACCCCACUGCUGUGCCAGUAAAUCAUGGCAAGCUGGAGGAAUCUCCCUGAUUUCUGAGCUCCUAAUCCCGCAAAGCCUGUAAAUGAUGGCUGGCUUAGCUUUGUUUCUGAUAAAACGAGGCUUAUGAGAUGAUGACAUUUGCUGCCUGUUUCUCCUCCGCUCCGUUCCGUGUCACCACCCAAGAGAUCUCUGGAGCCCAUCAGUGCAAGGCUGUGUGCCUAGUGCUACAACACUACCGCGUGCUGGAGAGCAGGGAGGAGCCUGGGUGAAUGUAUGGGAAUGAAUUUGGCUGUGUUAGCACUCCGAUCCCCUUCUGCAUGAUGUGCUUCCCCUGUUCUGCAGUGUCUGAUGCAGGUAUUGGGUCAGCCCAGUGAUGUUUGCUUCCUGGAGAGCACGCAUGGAACCUGCUGAUGGAGUUUGUUAACAGCCCCGCUGUUCCUUAAGCCAAGCUGGGUUUUUGCUUUGAUAAAACCUCUGGGCAUGGUGUGUGGCUGUACAGAGUGUGAGAACUCAGGGAGGUUCUUUACUCUGAGAGUGGCGAGGUGCUGAACAGCUGCCCAGAGAGGCUGUGGAUGCCCCG